rnacentral:lncRNA from 1 species
GUCCCCGUCCUCUCGCGGCGGCUUUCCCUCGGUCCCCUCCGCCUCUCCUCCUUCCCUUCUCCGGCCUCCUCCCUCUUCUCGCCAGCCUCCCUCCUGGCCCUGCGCGCUCUCCCGUGCCUCUCCCUCCGCUCGUGUCAUUGUGUCAUUCUUUCUUUCCUCCUCGCUCCUGUCUCGGUACGUCUGUCCUUCCACUGCCGGCGUGUCCUCGUCCUCUGCGCUGGGGCGACGGGUCUUCGCGUCUUACUCUCUCUCUCCGCCGGCCCCCCUCCCUGUGUGUCCCCUGCCUGCUCCCGGGGCUCCAUCCUCCCCUUCUCCGGCCUCCUCCUUCCGCGUCUCCUCUCUCCUACACCUUCCCCAGGCAGGCUCUGCAGUUCCCGCUCCCUCUCGGCUCUCCCAGCCUCCCUCCCCUCGCUGAGGUUCGGUACCCCCGCCCCCCACUGGGGACUCGAAGGUGAAUCAGACCCAAACGUGCCCUUGCAGCGGGAGCUCACGGUGUGAUGGGAGAGACAGACCCAGCCGCAGACAGUCCCAUUCCGGGGUGAUGGGGUGUGACCGAGGGCGAGACCAGAGGCUGAGAGAGCCGGGGCGGAAGGAAUCCUCGCAGCAGGUCCACCAGGGGGGACCUCCAGAGAAGGCGUGGUUGUGGCGUGACCUCCAAGAACCAGAAGUUAGACCUGAAUUGUUGAGAGGGGCAGCAGUAAGGGCGUUCCAGGCCCAGGGCACAGCUUAAGCAAAGGCCCAAAGGCAGGAAACCAAGGUGAUUCCGGAGGACAACAAAGCAGUCAAGUCUGACUAGAGCGGUAGGGGCCGGGAGCCAAGGAGCGUAGAAGAAGCUGGGGUGAGUGGGCGGGGCCGUUCUCGGCGUGUCCA